UGUGCGGUCCAUAAAAGAUAACCCUCUUGGCGCAGGGCAGGCAGGCUAAGGAUAUGGACGGGGAAUCGACACGAGGAGGAGGAGGAGAUGAGAGGAUAUUGAUCAGCUACAACUCGACGUGGACCGUUCAACCCAUGCAGUCACAAAAGAGGAAAGACUGGUGACAAGGAAAAGAGCUGCCACUGAGAGGAGGAAGAAGAAGAAGAAGAAGAAGAGGUAUGAAGCUGCCUGGACCGGAUGAUGGCGCUGCUAUACAGACUGGCUGCACCUUGCAGAAAAACUCCCUCUUUGUAGAUGAAUGAGUGGCCCAGUCAGGAUUACUUACUGCAGGGGUCUUAACCUGCCAACCAGCAGUACUACAUCUCAGAGGCUAAAAACAGACACGGAGACACACUUAAC